GGCUCAGUGGUCUAGGGGUAUGAUUCUCGCUUCGGGUGCGAGAGGUCCCGGGUUCAAAUCCCGGCUGAGCCC
rfam:Ixodes scapularis strain Wikel colony gcontig_1108379695180, whole genome shotgun sequence.